rnacentral:rRNA from 1 species
AGGACACGCUGGCGGCGUGCCUAACACAUGCAAGUCGAGCGGAGAUAAGCGGAUGGUAACUGAAGUUUGUCUUAGCGGCGACGGGUGAGUAACACGUGGGCAACCUGCCUUGGAGUGGGGGAUAACACCGGGAAAUCGGUGCUAAUACCGCAUAACAUACACAAGCUGCAUGGUAUGUGUAUCAAAGGAGUAAUCCGCUUUAAGAUGGGCCCGCGGCUGAUUAGCUAGUUGGUAAGGUAACGGCUUACCAAGGCGACGAUCAGUAGCCGACCUGAGAGGGUGACCGGCCACACUGGAACUGAGACACGGUCCAGACUCCUACGGGAGGCAGCAGUGGGGAAUAUUGCGCAAUGGGGGGAACCCUGACGCAGCAACGCCGCGUGGAGGAAGAAGGUCUUCGGAUUGUAAACUCCUGUCUUCUGGGAAGAUAAUGACGGUACCAGAGGAGGAAGCCACGGCUAACUCCGUG